rnacentral:rRNA from 1 species
AAAUUGAAGAGUUUGAUCAUGGCUCAGAUUGAACGCUGGCGGCAGGCCUAACACAUGCAAGUCGGACGGUAGCACAGGGGAGCUUGCUCUCCGGGUGACGAGUGGCGGACGGGUGAGUAAUGUCUGGGGAUCUGCCCGAUAGAGGGGGAUAACCACUGGAAACGGUGGCUAAUACCGCAUAACGUCG